rnacentral:rRNA from 1 species
UGGGGAAUAUUGCACAAUGGGCGGAAGCCUGAUGCAGCGACGCCGCGUGGGGGGUGAAGGCCUUCGGGUUGUAAACUCCUUUCGACAGGGACGAAGCUUUUGUGACGGUACCUGUAUAAGAAGCACCGGCUAACUACGUGCCAGCAGCCGCGGUAAUACGUAGGGUGCGAGCGUUGUCCGGAAUUACUGGGCGUAAAGAGCUCGUAGGUGGUUUGUCGCGUCGUCUGUGAAAUUCCGGGGCUUAACUCCGGGCGUGCAGGCGAUACGGGCUGACUUGAGUGCUGUAGGGGAGACUGGAAUUCCUGGUGUAGCGGUGAAAUGCGCAGAUAUCAGGAGGAACACCGAUGGCGAAGGCAGGUCUCUGGGCAGUAACUGACGCUGAGGAGCGAAAGCAUGGGUAGCGAACAGG